UGCCCUGGCUGUCUGCACAGGGCUGAAUUUCACCCCUUCCAAGUGCCCCCCCGUGCGUCAUAUGGGCAUUCUUGGGGGUGCAGAUUGCAUCAGACCUGCACCUGAAUAAAUAAUAGUGACUGAAAUAUGCAGACACUAAAGUUCUGCAGCCAAAUUCUCAGAAACCUUCCGCUUCAAUGUAGGAUCAGGAGUUUGGUUUGAAUUGAUUUAAAAAAAAAAGCGCUAAGCAGAUGCUACCCUGUAAGAAGAGGAAACAGAAGCAAAAACUGAAAGAUUGUUACUAAAACCAAUGAACCGUUGCAGAUAGUGGAGCCCCGGCAAAGCAAACAAAUGAAUACUGAAAAGGAUCCCCAAAGGAGGUGUAAGGAUCUGGGACUCUAAUGUCUGCCAGAAGCUUCAGCCACAUUCACAGGUUACAGCUCGCCCUCCAUUGCGGAGGUGAAGACCGGAUGGGAGCUGCUGGAUUGAUCUUGAUGUGCCAUGUCCUUGUGUGGAUGAAGGACCUACAUCUCAGGGGUGGCCAGCAGCAGAUGUAACACGUGUGUCCAGGAAUGGGCUAAAUAAGCUAC